UUAAUAAGCGGAGGAAAAGAAACUAACAAGGAUUCCCUCAGUAACGGCGAGUGAAGCGGGAAGAGCUCAAAUUUGAAAUCUCCGAUGCCUGCAUCGGCGAGUUGUAGUUGCGAGAAGCACUUUCUAGGCGGACCGGCGGUGCCUAAGUUGCUUGGAACAGCACGUCGCAGAGGGUGACAACCCCGUCUGUGGCGCCGGCGGCCGCCGACGAUGUGCUUUCGAAGAGUCGGGUUGUUUGGGAAUGCAGCCCAAAAGGGGUGGUAAACUCCAUCUAAAGCUAAAUACUGGCGUGAGACCGAUAGCGA
rnacentral:rRNA from 1 species